rnacentral:rRNA from 1 species
GACGAACGCUGGCGGCGUGCCUAAUACAUGCAAGUAGAACGCAGUUUCGAACGGGUGAGUAACGCGUAUGUAACUGCCUCAUAGCGGGGGAUAACUAUUGGAAACGAUAGCUAAUACCCCAUACUGUGAGCUGGAACUGCGUUGUAUUAGCUAGUUGGUGGGGUAAAGGCCCACCAAGGCGACGAUACAUAGCCGGCCUGAGAGGUUGAACGGCCACACUGGGACUGAGACACGGCCCAGACUCCUACGGGAGGCAGCAGUAGGGAAUCUUCCGCAAUGGACGGAAGUCUGACCGAGCAACGCCGCGUGAGUGAUGAAGGUUUUCGGGUCGUAAAGCUCUGUUGUUAGAGAAGCGGUACCUAAACAGAAAGGGACGGCUAACUACGUGCCAGCAGCCGCGGUAAUUC